UCAGAAUUUCAUAUAUAUUGAAAACCAGUAUUUUCUUGGGUCAUCAUAUGCUUGGCCAUCAUACGAAGAUUCAGGAGCUGAUCAUCUGAUCCCGAUGGAGUUGGCAAUGAAAGUUGUGAGUAAAAUUAGAGCCAGCCAACGAAAGGUUUGCCAUAUAUGUUGUUAUGCCAAUGUGGCCAGAGGGAGACCCCAAGACAGCUACCAUGCAAGAAAUUCUCUUUUGGCAGAGCCAAACAAUGCAUAUGAUGUAUCAGGUCAUUGCACAAGAGAUUAAGUCCAUGCAGCUAGAUGAACAUCCUUCGGACUAUCUAAAUUUCUAUUGCCUUGGCAAUCGGGAAGAUGU